rnacentral:tRNA from 1 species
ACAGUGGUGGCUCAGUGGUAGAAUGCUUGCCUUCCAUGCCAGAGACUGGGGUUUGACUCCCCACCAAGGGA